AGUGAACGCUGGCGGUAGGCCUAACACAUGCAAGUCGAACGGCAGCACAGUAAGAGCUUGCUCUUACGGGUGGCGAGUGGCGGACGGGUGAGGAAUACAUCGGAAUCUACUUUUUCGUGGGGGAUAACGUAGGGAAACUUACGCUAAUACCGCAUACGACCUACGGGUGAAAGCAGGGGAUCUUCGGACCUUGCGCGAUUGAAUGAGCCGAUGUCGGAUUAGCUAGUUGGCGGGGUAAAGGCCCACCAAGGCGACGAUCCGUAGCUGGUCUGAGAGGAUGGUCAGCCACACUGGAACUGAGACACGGUCCAGACUCCUAAGGGAGGCAGCAGUGGGGAAUAUUGGACAAUGGGCGCAAGCCUGAUCCAGCCAUACCGCGGGGGUGAAGAAGGCCUUCGGGUUGUAAAGCCCUUUUGUUGGGAAAGAAAAGCAGCAGGUUAAUACCCCGCUGUUCUGACGGUACCCAAAGAAUAAGCACCGGCUAACUUCGUG
rnacentral:rRNA from 1 species